CUAGUUGGUGGGGGAAGAGCCUACCAAGGCGACGAUCGGUAGCUGGUCUGAGAGGACGAUCAGCCACACUGGGAUUGAGAACGGCCCAGACUCUACGGGGGGCAGCAGUGAGGAAUUUUCCGCAAUGGGCGCAAGCCUGACGGAGCAACGCCGCGUGCAGGAGGACGCUUUUCGAAGUGUAAACUGCUUUUCUGUGGGACGAGCAAGGACGGUACCACAGGAAGAAGCCCCGGCUAACUACGUGCCAGCAGCCGCGGUAAUACGUAGGGGGCGAGCGUUGUCCGGAGUUACUGGGCGUAAAGGGCAUGCAGGCGGUCGGACGCGUUUUGUGUGACAGCGGGUGGCUUAACUGCCCGAGGAUACGAAAGACGGUUUGACUUGAGGGCUCGAGAGGGACACGGAAUUCCGGGUGGAGUGGUGAAAUGCGUAGAGAUCCGGAGGAACACCAAAGGCGAAGGCAGUGUCCUGGUGAGCACCUGACGCUGAGGUGCGAAAGCUAGGGGAGCGAACGGGAUUAGAUACCCCGGUAGUCCUAGCCGUAAACGAUGACCACCAGGCGUGGGAGGUAUCGACCCCUUCCGUGCCGGAGUUAACACACUAAGUGGUCCGCCUGGGGAGUACGGUCGCAAGAUUAAAACUCAAAGGAAUUGACG
rnacentral:rRNA from 1 species